rnacentral:rRNA from 1 species
AACGAACGCUGGCGGCAUGCCUAACACAUGCAAGUCGAACGAGACCUUCGGGUCUAGUGGCGCACGGGUGCGUAACGCGGGGGAACCUGCCCUUAGGUUCGGAAUAACUCCCCGAAAGGGGUGCUAAUACCGGAUAAUGUCUUCGGACCAAAGAUUUAUCGCUUUUGGAUGGGCCCGGGUUGGAUUAGCUAGUUGGUAGGGUAAAAGCCGACCAAGGCGACGAUCCAUAGCUGGUCUGAGAGGAUGAUCAGUCACACUGGGACUGAGACACGGCCCAGACUCCUACGGGAGGCAGCAGUGGGGAAUAUUGGACAAUGGGCGCAAGCCUGAUCCAGCAAUGCCGCGUGAGUGAUGAAGGCCUUAGGGUUGUAAAGCUCUUUUACCCGGGAUGAUAAUGACAGUACCGGGAGAAUAAGCUCCGGCUAACUCCGUG